rnacentral:rRNA from 1 species
GAUGAACGCUGGCGGCGUGCCUAAUACAUGCAAGUCGAGCGAACAGACGAGGAGCUUGCUCCUCUGACGUUAGCGGCGGACGGGUGAGUAACACGUGGAUAACCUACCUAUAAGACUGGGAUAACUUCGGGAAACCGGAGCUAAUACCGGAUAAUAUAUUGAACCGCAUGGUUCAAUAGUGAAAGACGGCUUUGCUGUCACUUAUAGAUGGAUCCGCGCCGCAUUAGCUAGUUGGUAAGGUAACGGCUUACCAAGGCAACGAUGCGUAGCCGACCUGAGAGGGUGAUCGGCCACACUGGAACUGAGACACGGUCCAGACUCCUACGGGAGGCAGCAGUAGGGAAUCUUCCGCAAUGGGCGAAAGCCUGACGGAGCAACGCCGCGUGAGUGAUGAAGGUCUUCGGAUCGUAAAACUCUGUUAUUAGGGAAGAACAAAUGUGUAAGUAACUAUGCACGUCUUGACGGUACCUAAUCAGAAAGCCACGGCUAACCACGUG